ensembl:lncRNA
GUGGGCCGCACAUCUGCUGUGGCGUCCGCCUGCUCACUCUAACAGACAGCACGCAGCCGUCCCAGCUGACUUGGUUUACAGAUAUUGAAGAGAUUGUAAGCCUUUUCAGGAGUAACUUACACUUAGAAAAUGGCAAGAGUUGCCCUCUGGCGGCCUGCAUGUUACUUAAAGUGUGUUCUUGUGAAGCCCAGGCCAGCCCGAGGGAGCGUCUGGCGCCGAAAUGUCAGUCUCACGGAGAGCAGCAGGCGCGGGUGUGUCGUGUGUCACUCGUGCCCGGAACCCAGACUGGGCCCCAGGAAACGUGUCUACUGGAUGGGUCCCAGUGGCCACUGCCCCACUCGGAGGCUGAGCAGGAGAGGAACCCAGGUCUGCUUGGAUGGCGCUGGACCUGACCGGAGCCCUCUUGCCAGUCAGUGCCUGCUGGGAAGCGCGAAGUGGAUCUCUUACAGUGCAGUACAGAGCGAAGCAUCUAGUCUGGCCCUUGCUAAACUUACGACGGUCUAAGUCUGUAGUGGGGCAGCAUCCACACUUCCGCCGGGGCUGGCACAGAGCUGGGCUAUGGCAGAGCAGUCCCCGGCGUACCCGGUCCUAGCUAGAGACCGGAAGAAAGCUGUGAGGAGGGGUGGGGACAACAGGUGCUACUACCGCAGCCUGCAGGGAGAGGAUGCUGGCCGAGGGCACGCGACUCGUGGGUGUGGGAGAGUGCUUUGGUUUUCCUUGGACUCGGAGGGGUUCGCUGGCAUGCAGGUGCUUUGGCUGAAGACCCUUUCCUGAGCUUGUCUUCUUGUGUAGAGCACACAGUUGGAAUAAGAAGGAAAGUCUAUUUAGAGUAGCGCUGAACUCGUGAGAUGCCUGGGAAUGCAGUUGAGAAGAUGUGAAAGUAGGUAGCAGAGUCGCCUCGUGCAGGCAGAAAGUGGUAAAGGCAGGCAGUCAGGUGUUAAUAGUGUUUGCAAUUUGCUGUGGCUGUCGGGGUCAACGUCCACAGCACUGAACUGAAUGAAUUCCCAGGUGACCUGAAAGUCACUUUGUACUUAGGCCUUUGCGCCCAUCUGAUGGGGGCUGAUUGGGAGCAGCCCUGAGCGAGUUCUGCGCAGGCCCAGAUGUUGAGGCACGCCAUCAUUCAGUACCAGCUCACCAGCUAUGAGCUCACGAAGCCACGGUGGGGCUGUUGGGUCCGUGCUGGCGGGUCCAGGCUUGCAGCAGUGCAGAUCUUGCUGGAAAGCUCCAUUUUUGUCACUGGCUUGGCCUCAGUGUGCCGGCCUCUCUCGUACAGGGAUCGAAGCUGGGACCUUGCGCUUGCCAGGCAGGCACCACGGAGCUAAAUCCCCAGCCCAGGUCAUGCUGUCAAAGGGAAGCAGUUCCUGCAGAUUCGCGGGAGUGCUUGCCUGGGGUGACCAUUGCCCUGUGGAAUCCCACACAUAGACUGCACUUGGUCACACGGUGUGUCCUGGGCCUGGAGUUCAGUAAAGCCACUGCUGCUGCAUCAGGAGGCUUCUUGUUUUUUUGUGUGUGUGUGGUUUUUUUUGUGCACAGGGAGACUGGAAUAAGCAGGGCAGCUUGCUGCUGAAGUGCUAGCAGAUUUUCCUGCCAUUUCCCUGAAUCAUCAAGGCAUUGUCGCCAUGAUGAAAAGAGCGAGUCACAUCUUGGUAGUCACAUUUGUAGCUCGUGAGCCCCUAGAAUGGUGUAGGGAUGCAAGGUUCCAUGGGGCACAGUUUGAAAACUGGAUGGGGGUGUUGGGGGCAGUGACGUCCACAAGCCUCGGAGAAGUUCUGGGAAAGGCAGGAGCCCUCACCGAAUUACUCCUGACUGCCCUUCCAGGAAGGCAACGGAAUCCAGAAAACUUGCCCUGAGGAGCAGAGUGGGGCUGGGUGGGGGGUGUCAGCCAGGUUGGGACAGGACGUGCCCCGCUGAGAACUGGUGGGCAUGGUGGCACGACCCCAUGAGAGGACCCCGGGCCCUGACAGCCAUGUCUGAAGUGAGGACCCGCCAGGGGCAGGAUGGGCCAAGGGCCAGUCUGGAAGCAGAGGGGGCCCCCGAGGCCCGCUCCGCCCUGCAGGCCCAUCUGGAAGCGGGCUCUACUGGGACUGGGCAGGUCCACAGUGGGGUGACCCAGGCCGGAGAGCCACCCUGUGGAGCGGGCGUGGGGGUGUGCGAGCUGCCCAGCCACCCUAAGAUACUCCCUGCCCGAGCGGGCUGUCAGCAGGUGUGAGAUGGGGAACGGACCUGCCG